AUUUAAAUAAUUUAAAAAAAAUAUUGAUUUGUGGAGUCAAAAAUAUGAAAUUUCAUUUUAAAUC
rnacentral:tRNA from 1 species